GGCUCCUAUAUGAAAGCAACUACACUGAUGAGAAAAGGGCAGGAGCCUAAGAUCAACCACAUGCUAUAGGUCAAGGGAUCUUAACAUGGGGAUAAUGAGUGUGUAAAAUAUGGAUGCCAUUUUAUCCACGUGGAAGGAAUGACUAGACUUCAGCUGCACAUACAAGCAUAUCAAAGUCCCAUAAAACACUGCGGCCAUUGUCAGGUGGGAUCCACAGGUGGGAAAAGACUUGUUCUUACUCUCAGCAGAGUUCAUCCUGAGAAUGGCUACAAGAAGGAGCAGAGCUACGCUCUUUCAGAUACAUGGGAUUUCUGACAGAUUCCACUGGAAACUGAACAUGCUGUACAUUGUACCAUCACCAUAAAACCAGGUAGUUAAAAGUUUACUAGACAUUAAAAAUUGCUUUCACAUCUCAGUGUAAAGUGGAAACUCCCUUCUUGUUCAAGAGUUUAGAAAAAAGUCACAUUUAUACAGUGAUUUAAAUAUUCUUUAAUUAUUAAAAUAUUUUGAGAAGGGAACAAGAAGAGUCUAGCGUCACUAAAUGAGGAUUAGGAAUGACAUCAAACCAGAAAAUAAAUUCCUGCAGUUUUAUAAUAAUUUUUAGGUUUCUUUUCCUGUCUCUUUUGCUGGCUUUCUUGUCUCUUGGUUUUUCUUCUAUUAUUCAUAUGAUU
rnacentral:lncRNA from 1 species